GCCAGAGUAAUAUAGUGGUUCAAAUAUUAGACCUGGACUCUGGAUAUCAGGGUUCAAAUCCCUUCUUAGCCA